AUCAACUUUCGAUGGUAGGAUAGAGGCCUACCAUGGUGGUAACGGGUAACGGGGUGUUAGGGCACGACACCGGAGAGGGAGCCUGAGAAACGGCUACCACAUCCAAGGAUGGCAGCAGGCGCGCAAAUUACCCAAUCCCGACACGGGGAGGUAGUGACAAUAAAUAACAAUACGGGGUUCUUUCGGAUCUCGUAAUUGGAAUGAGUACAAUUUAAAUCUCUUAACGAGGAACAAUUGGAGGGCAAGUCUGGUGCCAGCAGCCGCGGUAAUUCCAGCUCCAAUAGCGUAUAUUAAAGUUGUUGCAGUUAAAAAGCUCGUAGUUGAAUUUCGGGGUUAGUAGGUUGGUCAUGCCUCUGGUAUGUACUGGUCUCACUGAUUCCUCCUUCCUGAUGAACCGUAAUGCCAUUAAUUUGGUGUUGCGGGGAAUUUGGACUGUUACUUUGAAAAAAUUAGAGUGUUUAAAGCAAGCUAACGCUUGAAUACAUUAGCAUGGAAUAAUGAAAUAGGACGUUCGAUCCUAUUUUGCUGGUUUCUAGGAUUGACGUAAUGAUUAAUAGGGAUAGUUGGGGGCAUUAGUAUUCAAUUGUCAGAGGUGAAAUUCUUGGAUUUAUUGAAGACUAACUACUGCGAAAGCAUUUGCCAAGGAUGUUUUCAUUAAUCAAGAACGAAAGUUAGGGGAUCGAAGACGAUCAGAUACCGUCGUAGUCUUAACCAUAAACUAUGCCGACUAGGGAUCGGAUGAUGUUAAUUUUUUAAUGACUCAUUCGGCGCCUUACGGGAAACCAAAGUGUUUGGGUUC
rnacentral:rRNA from 1 species